AACUAACAUAUCAAUAAGCGGAGGAAAAGAAACCAACAGGGAUUGCCCUAGUAACGGCGAGUGAAGCGGCAACAGCUCAAAUUUGAAAUCUGGCUCUUUUAGAGUCCGAGUUGUAAUUUGCAGAGGGCGCUUUGGCUUUGGCAGCGGUCCAAGUUCCUUGGAACAGGACGUCACAGAGGGUGAGAAUCCCGUACGUGGUCGCUGGCUAUUGCCGUGUAAAGCCCCUUCGACGAGUCGAGUUGUUUGGGAAUGCAGCUCUAAAUGGGAGGUACAUUUCUUCUAAAGCUAAAUAUUGGCCAGAGACCGAUAGCGCACAAGUAGAGUGAUCGAAAGAUGAAAAGCACUUUGGAAAGAGAGUCAAACAGCACGUGAAAUUGUUGAAAGGGAAGCGCUUGCAGCCAGACUUGCUUGCAGUUGCUCAUCCGGGUUUUUACCCGGUGCACUCUUCUGUAGGCAGGCCAGCAUCAGUUUGGGCGGUAGGAUAAAGGUCUCUGUCACGUACCUCCUUUCGGGGAGGCCUUAUAGGGGAGACGACAUACUACCAGCCUGGACUGAGGUCCGCGCAUCUGCUAGGAUGCUGGCGUAAUGGCUGUAAGCGGCCCGUCUUGAAACACGGACCAAGGAGUCUAACAUCUAUGCAGGUUUGGG
rnacentral:rRNA from 1 species